UACGGGGGGAGCAAGCGUUGUUCGGAUUUACUGGGCGUAAAGGGCGCGUAGGCGGCCUCCGCAAGUCAGUUGUGAAAUCUCCGAGCUUAACUCGGAAAGGUCAACUGAUACUGCGGGGCUAGAGUGCGGAAGGGGCAACUGGAAUUCUUGGUGUAGCGGUGAAAUGUGUAGAUAUCAAGAGGAACACCUGCGGCGAAGGCGGGUUGCUGGGCCGACACUGACGCUGAGGCGCGAAAGCUAGGGGAGCGAACGGG
rnacentral:rRNA from 1 species